rnacentral:rRNA from 1 species
UACAUGGGGUGCAAACGUUGCUCGGAAUUAUUGGGCGUAAAGCGCACGUAGGCGGUUCGUUAAGUCGGAUGUGAAAGCCCUCGGCUCAACUGAGGAAGUGCACCCGAAACUGGCGAGCUUGAGUACGAAAGAGGAUCGCGGAAUUCCCGGUGUAGAGGUGAAAUUCGUAGAUAUCGGGAGGAACACCGGUGGCGAAGGCGGCGAUCUGGGUCGAUACUGACGCUGAGGUGCGAAAGCGUGGGGAGCAAACA